CCUACGGGAGGCAGCAGUAGGGAAUAUUGCGCAAUGGAGGAAACUCUGACGCAGCGACGCCGCGUGAGCGAUGAAGGUCUUCGGAUCGUAAAGCUCUGUCCUAUGGGAAGAUAAUGACGGUACCAUAGGAGGAAGCCCCGGCUAACUACGUGCCAGCAGCCGCGGUAAU
rnacentral:rRNA from 1 species